UUUCUUCUUCCAAAAUCAAGGUGGAUGGUUCUGGGCACAUGGCUGGUGCUUUUUAGGUACUUGUUGAUCUGCCCGUUGGGGUAACUCCUGUUUCACCUUCUAUGGGAAGGAAGGGAAUAUCCCGUGGGAGUUUGUUUUUUUUCCUUGACUAUUCUCAUCCUUGUGAUUGCAUUCUGGCUGGGCAGUUAGAAAGGAGGGGGUCAGAUGGGCCACUUCCCCAUCCCUAGGGUCAAGCUUCACUCUCUCUCAGCUCCCUCUCGGAACUAAGACCUGAGCAAAGGGGUCAGUCUGUACAGUGCAGCCACCCUGACUGACUGUUAGAGAAAUAAACAAGAUGUUAUUGUGCCGAGGGGAGAAGAGUUACAUCAAAAGUAUCUCAGAGAGGAAGAAAGCCAAAUUUCUUUUUAUAUGAGAUGCAUGGAUAGGGGGAGAGAGAGAGAAAAAAAUGCCUGGGUAAUUAACUUAAUAGGUUUCUUAAAGAAUGCCCUUGUGAGUGAUGUUCAACACAUUCAAGUGUUGACAAGAAGGCAUUGAACUUGACGCCCACGCAGCGGGCAGAAGCAUGCUCUCGGCUCCAACACACCUUCUUUGUCUGAAACUUGUGGUAAGACUCAGUGCUGGGUUGUGAAAUCUGUCCCAGGGAAUCCGUGCUGCAGGAGCUCCAAGGUCAAGCCCCGUGCUUCUGGAUAGGGUUGGGGCUGGCAAGGGUGACCACUCGGAACUAAGAUCCCACGAGUAGGAGAGCAGAGGAAGAGGCCCUCAAGUCAGACACCUAGAGAUGCUGCCAUGCCUGGGAGAGACCCGUGAGCUCUAGGGCUCCCAAGACAACCUGCCACUCUUGGGGGUGGUCGGAACAAACCUCUGCUUCUUCCCUGCAAAUCCUGGUUGCCUUGGGAAACUUGGGUCUGAUGUCCAGGAACACGUGUGAGACCCUAGGUCUUCCCUAUCUUGAUGAACUAAGGGAGGAAUCUAGGUGAAUGUAUCAAUGUGGAUUUUCCCUUUCUCCUAAAUCGGUGGUAGAUAGAGAGGCCCCAAAUCAUU
rnacentral:lncRNA from 1 species